rnacentral:lncRNA from 10 species
UGCAUCUCUGGCCCCAGCUGUACCCCUGCCCUAGGGCCCACCAGCCUCCUCUCCCUUGCUAGAGUCCAGCUCUAAGGGAAAUUGCAGACGGACCAUCCCAAGGGCCUUGUAGCACAGGGUCUGGGGGAAGCUGAGGAGGAAAGACUUAGCGGCGCAGAGGGAAGGAGGGCAGAGCCAGCCUCUACCUGUGUCACCUGGGACAGCUUUCUUCACCCUCUGGAAUUCAGUUGCCCUGUGGGUGCAGUAGUGGGAGCAGGGGUGGUAAGCCCACUCUAUAUGCCCUUCUAAAAUAAUGCCCUUUGCCAUCUGAGGGCUAGGAGUCUGUAACUGGAGAUGUCUUCUGAUCUGAGAAGCUGAGGGUGGAAGAAGAGACCCAGCUGGGGGAACUGGAGGAGUCUUGGCAGACCCUGGUAGGAAAGGAGAGCCAGAGAAUGGAAAUGGAACAAAACGGAUACUUGAAAGUAUCUUGUUGAGGCUGGGUGCGGUGGCUCAAGCCUGUAAUCCCAGCACUUUGGGAGGCUGAGGUGGGUGGAUCAUGAAGUCAGGGGUUUGAGACCAGCCUGGCCAACAUAGUGAAACCCGGUCUCUACAAAAAAUACAAAAAUAGCCAGGUGUGGUGGUGUGCGCCUGUAAUCCCAGCUACUUGGGAGUCUGAGGCAGGAGAGUCACUUGAACCUGGGAGGCGGAGGUUGCAGUGAGCCUAGACUGCGCCAUUGCACUCCAGCCUGGGAGACAGAGCAAGACUCCAUCUCAAAAAA